UCUGGUGAUGAUGGCGAAGAGGUCACACCCGUUUCCAUACCGAACACGGAAGUUAAGCUCUUCAGCGCCGAUGGUAGUCGGGGGUUUCCCCCUGUGAGAGUAGGACGCCGCCAAGC
rnacentral:rRNA from 1 species